rnacentral:rRNA from 1 species
UGGGGAAUAUUGGGCAAUGGGCGAAAGCCUGACCCAGCGACGCCGCGUGGGUGAUGAAGGCCUUCGGGUUGUAAAGCCCUGUCAUGCGGAAAGAACGACCCUGUGACGCAUACUCAUAGGGAGUGACGGUACCGCAGGAGGAAGCACCGGCUAACUCCGUGCCAGCAGCCGCGGUAAUACGGAGGGUGCAAGCGUUGUUCGGAAUUAUUGGGCGUAAAGGGCGCGUAGGCGGUAAUGUAAGUCAGAUGUGAAAUACUCCGGCUCAACCAGAGAACAGCAUCUGAAACCGCAUAACUAGAGUACAGAAGAGGGAAACGGAAUUCCCGGUGUAGAGGUGAAAUUCGUAGAUAUCGGGAGGAACACCAGUGGCGAAGGCGGUUUCCUGGUCUGAUACUGACGCUGAGGCGCGAAAGCGUGGGGAGCAAACAG